rnacentral:miRNA from 1 species
AAUAGGAGUAGAAAAGGAGAGAACACAGUCCUAUGCUUGAAUUAUACUUAAAACGUAAUGGAAUAAAGUAUAAUUCAAGCAUAGGACAGUGUGCUCUCCUUUUCUACUCAUACUUUUAUAU